GAUGAAGAACGUAGCGAAAUGCGAUACGUAAUGUGAAUUGCAGAAUUCAGUGAAUCAUCGAGUCUUUGAACGCACAUUGCGCCCCCUGGUAUUCCGGGGGGCAUGCCUAUCCGAGCGUCAUUGCUGCCCUCAAGCACGGCUUGUGUGUUGGGCCUCCGUCCUCCUCCCGGGGGACGGGCCCGAAAGGCAGCGGCGGCACCGCGUCCGGUCCUCGAGCGUAUGGGGCUUCGUCACCCGCUCUUGUAGGCCCGGCCGGCGCUUGCCGACACAUCAAUCUUUUUUCCAGGUUGACCUCGGAUCAGGUAGGGAUACCCGCUGAACUUAAGCAUAUCAAUAAGCGGAGGA
rnacentral:misc_RNA from 1 species